AUUGAACGCUGGCGGCAGGCUUAACACAUGCAAGUCGAGCGAGCGGCGCACGGGUGAGUAAUGUCUGUGAAACCGUCUGAUGGAGGGGGAUAACACUUGGAAACGGUAGCUAAUACCGCGCACCAUCAGAUCUGCCCAGAUGGGUGUAGCUAGAGGUGGGGGUAACGGCUCACCUAGGCGACGAGCCCUAGCUGGUCUGAGAGGAUGACCCGCCACACUGGAACUGAGACACGGUCCAGACUCCUACGGGAGGCAGCAGUGGGGAAUAUUGCACAAUGGGCGCAAGCCUGAUACAGCCAUGCCGCGUGUGUGAAGAAGGCCUUCGGGUUGUAAAGCACUUUCAGCGGGGAGGCGUUACCCGCAGAAGAAGCACCGGCUAACUCCGUGCCAGCAGCCGCGGUAAUUC
rnacentral:rRNA from 1 species